rnacentral:rRNA from 1 species
GAUGAACGCUGACAGAAUGCUUAACACAUGCAAGUCGAUUCGAUUUACCUUCGGGUAUUGAGGAUGGCGGACGGGUGAGUAACGCGUAAGGAACUUGCCUCUUGGUCUGGGACAGCUGUUGGAAACGACAGCUAAUACCGGAUAUUAUGAGAUUCUCGCAUGGGAAACUUAUGAAAGCUAUAUGCGCCAAGAGAGAGCCUUGCGUUCCAUUAGCUAGUUGGUGGGGUAACGGCCCACCAAGGCGACGAUGGAUAGCCGGCCUGAGAGGGUGAACGGCCACAAGGGGACUGAGACACGGCCCUUACUCCUACGGGAGGCAGCAGUGGGGAAUAUUGGACAAUGGGCCACAAGCCUGAUCCAGCAAUUCUGUGUGCACGAUGAAGGUCUUCGGAUUGUAAAGUGCUUUCAGUUGGGAAGAAGAAAGUGACGGUACCAACAGAAGAAGCGACGGCUAAAUACGUGCCAGCAGCCGCGGUAAUACGUAUGUCGCAAGCGUUAUCCGGAUUUAUUGGGCGUAAAGCGCGUCUAGGCGGAAAAAUAAGUCUGAUGUUAAAAUGCGGGGCUCAACUCCGUAUUGCGUUGGAAACUGUUUUUCUAGAGUACUGGAGAGGUGGGCGGAACUACAAGUGUAGAGGUGAAAUUCGUAGAUAUUUGUAGGAAUGCCGAUGGAGAAGUCAGCUCACUGGNCAGAUACUGACGCUAAAGCNCGAAAGCNUGGGGAGCAAACAGGAUUAGAUACCCUGGUAGUCCACGCCGUAAACNAUGAUCACUAGG